GUUUGAUUCUUCUUAAAUAGAGAGCUAUGCCCGAUCAAAGUCUUACCUGAAAAGUAAACUUUCGAUUUGACUAGGCCAUUUUGGGGUCUAAACGAUAAAAAUUCGGCCUGAUUCAACUUUCUAGGAGGUUGGCUUAAAGUUGUAGAACUCAAAAAGAUACUCAAUUUUUUAAAAAAAUAAUAAGAUCAUCUUAAUCGGGCAUCGUAUAACCAAGUUAUGCCUCUAGAAGUUUGGCAUGCGAUUCGGCUUUUCGAUUGGUGGAUCUAGCUUCUGAACCCUAUCCAACCGUGCUCGUAGUUGCCAAAGUAUUCUAUAUUGAGUUUAGUGAUCCUCCUGAAUAUCCAUAGUGGCUAAAAUAUUCGACAUCAAAUUUGGUGAUUUUCUUGAAUAUUCAUAGUAGCCAAAGUGAUUCUUAUCAAGCUUGGUGAUCCUUCUGAAUACUCGUUUCAAGUUGAUAGCAGGGACCGAUCUUCAUUCUAAACUCGGCAACAGAUCUGAAGUGAGUACAGAUAACUGUAAUGUCCACCCCAAAACCAACUAGAUUAUAUAUAAGCCUUAAUAAUUAUGAUGAGUAUAAUAAUAAUUGUUGCGGGGACGGCGUUUCGCCGGAGCCUCGCGCAACAGCAUAGUCCCCAUCGGUCCUGGACAGAGAAAGCGACCGCAUCCCUCCCGAGGUUUUAUCCGCUUUGGGGUUCAACGCGCCCCGCAUGGCUUUGCCCUUUAAAAGGCACCUC
rnacentral:lncRNA from 1 species